rnacentral:lncRNA from 1 species
GAGAAAUCCAGAAAUAACUAGUCGUGUAACUGAUUUCCCCAAGUAGCAGUAAUUCCUUCACUAUGUUUACUGAUAAGGAUAUUAAACUGAAUAUAUAUAGAAGAAAAAUCUGAAUUUGGAAAUGCAAGAAUUGAGAAUUCGCAAUUUUCUUACACCGAAUCCACAAAAAAGAAGUCUUGAAUUCAAUAUGGAAAAGAUUUAGUGUCACAUCCCGCCCCGGGGCGGAUCAUUUUUUGGGCCUGCUCCACCACCGUAGCACGAUAUUGUCCGCUUUGGACCCUAACCACGCCCUCACGGUUUUGUUUCUAAGAACACGAGCAACUUCCCAGUGGGUCACCCAUCCUGGGAGUUUCUGGCCCCCUUCUCGCUUAACUUCGGAGUUCCUACGAAACCCGAAGCCAGUGAGCUCCCAAAAAACAUCGUGCUAUGUAGAGAUGGGAAUAUACAUUUAAGGAUCACUCCCCUGGGCGAUGUGUGAUAUCACAUUUAGGGCUCGUUUGGAUGUGCUUUUAAA